rnacentral:rRNA from 2 species
UUAAGCGACUAAGCGUACACGGUGGAUGCCCUGGCAGUCAGAGGCGAUGAAGGACGUGCUAAUCUGCGAUAAGCGUCGGUGAGGUGAUAUGAACCGUUAUAACCGGCGAUUUCCGAAUGGGGAAACCCAGUGUGUUUCGACACACUAUCAUUAACUGAAUCCAUAGGUUAAUGAGGCGAACCGGGGGAACUGAAACAUCUAAGUACCCCGAGGAAAAGAAAUCAACCGAGAUUCCCCCAGUAGCGGCGAGCGAACGGGGAGGAGCCCAGAGCCUGAAUCAGUGUGUGUGUUAGUGGAAGCGUCUGGAAAGGCGUGCGAUACAGGGUGACAGCCCCGUACACAAAAAUGCACAUAUUGUGAGCUCGAUGAGUAGGGCGGGACACGUGGUAUCCUGUCUGAAUAUGGGGGGACCAUCCUCCAAGGCUAAAUACUCCUGACUGACCGAUAGUGAACCAGUACCGUGAGGGAAAGGCGAAAAGAACCCCGGCGAGGGGAGUGAAAAAGAACCUGAAACCGUGUACGUACAAGCAGUGGGAGCCUCUUAAUGGGGUGACUGCGUACCUUUUGUAUAAUGGGUCAGCGACUUAUAUUCUGUAGCAAGGUUAACCGAAUAGGGGAGCCGAAGGGAAACCGAGUCUUAACUGGGCGUUAAGUUGCAGGGUAUAGACCCGAAACCCGGUGAUCUAGCCAUGGGCAGGUUGAAGGUUGGGUAACACUAACUGGAGGACCGAACCGACUAAUGUUGAAAAAUUAGCGGAUGACUUGUGGCUGGGGGUGAAAGGCCAAUCAAACCGGGAGAUAGCUGGUUCUCCCCGAAAGCUAUUUAGGUAGCGCCUCGUGAAUUCAUCUCCGGGGGUAGAGCACUGUUUCGGCAAGGGGGUCAUCCCGACUUACCAACCCGAUGCAAACUGCGAAUACCGGAGAAUGUUAUCACGGGAGACACACGGCGGGUGCUAACGUCCGUCGUGAAGAGGGAAACAACCCAGACCGCCAGCUAAGGUCCCAAAGUCAUGGUUAAGUGGGAAACGAUGUGGGAAGGCCCAGACAGCCAGGAUGUUGGCUUAGAAGCAGCCAUCAUUUAAAGAAAGCGUAAUAGCUCACUGGUCGAGUCGGCCUGCGCGGAAGAUGUAACGGGGCUAAACCAUGCACCGAAGCUGCGGCAGCGACACUAUGUGUUGUUGGGUAGGGGAGCGUUCUGUAAGCCUGUGAAGGUGGCCUGUGAGGGUUGCUGGAGGUAUCAGAAGUGCGAAUGCUGACAUAAGUAACGAUAAAGCGGGUGAAAAGCCCGCUCGCCGGAAGACCAAGGGUUCCUGUCCAACGUUAAUCGGGGCAGGGUGAGUCGACCCCUAAGGCGAGGCCGAAAGGCGUAGUCGAUGGGAAACAGGUUAAUAUUCCUGUACUUGGUGUUACUGCGAAGGGGGGACGGAGAAGGCUAUGUUGGCCGGGCGACGGUUGUCCCGGUUUAAGCGUGUAGGCUGGUUUUCCAGGCAAAUCCGGAAAACCAAGGCUGAGGCGUGAUGACGAGGCACUACGGUGCUGAAGCGACAAAUGCCCUGCUUCCAGGAAAAGCCUCUAAGCAUCAGGUAACAUCAAAUCGUACCCCAAACCGACACAGGUGGUCAGGUAGAGAAUACCAAGGCGCUUGAGAGAACUCGGGUGAAGGAACUAGGCAAAAUGGUGCCGUAACUUCGGGAGAAGGCACGCUGAUAUGUAGGUGAAGCGACUUGCUCGUGGAGCUGAAAUCAGUCGAAGAUACCAGCUGGCUGCAACUGUUUAUUAAAAACACAGCACUGUGCAAACACGAAAGUGGACGUAUACGGUGUGACGCCUGCCCGGUGCCGGAAGGUUAAUUGAUGGGGUUAGCGGUAACGCGAAGCUCUUGAUCGAAGCCCCGGUAAACGGCGGCCGUAACUAUAACGGUCCUAAGGUAGCGAAAUUCCUUGUCGGGUAAGUUCCGACCUGCACGAAUGGCGUAAUGAUGGCCAGGCUGUCUCCACCCGAGACUCAGUGAAAUUGAACUCGCUGUGAAGAUGCAGUGUACCCGCGGCAAGACGGAAAGACCCCGUGAACCUUUACUAUAGCUUGACACUGAACAUUGAGCCUUGAUGUGUAGGAUAGGUGGGAGGCUUUGAAGUGUGGACGCCAGUCUGCAUGGAGCCGGCCUUGAAAUACCACCCUUUAAUGUUUGAUGUUCUAACGUUGGCCCGUAAUCCGGGUUGCGGACAGUGUCUGGUGGGUAGUUUGACUGGGGCGGUCUCCUCCUAAAGAGUAACGGAGGAGCACGAAGGUUGGCUAAUCCUGGUCGGACAUCAGGAGGUUAGUGCAAUGGCAUAAGCCAGCUUGACUGCGAGCGUGACGGCGCGAGCAGGUGCGAAAGCAGGUCAUAGUGAUCCGGUGGUUCUGAAUGGAAGGGCCAUCGCUCAACGGAUAAAAGGUACUCCGGGGAUAACAGGCUGAUACCGCCCAAGAGUUCAUAUCGACGGCGGUGUUUGGCACCUCGAUGUCGGCUCAUCACAUCCUGGGGCUGAAGUAGGUCCCAAGGGUAUGGCUGUUCGCCAUUUAAAGUGGUACGCGAGCUGGGUUUAGAACGUCGUGAGACAGUUCGGUCCCUAUCUGCCGUGGGCGCUGGAGAACUGAGGGGGGCUGCUCCUAGUACGAGAGGACCGGAGUGGACGCAUCACUGGUGUUCGGGUUGUCAUGCCAAUGGCACUGCCCGGUAGCUAAAUGCGGAAGAGAUAAGUGCUGAAAGCAUCUAAGCACGAAACUUGCCCCGAGAUGAGUUCUCCCUGACUCCUUGAGGGUCCUGAAGGAACGUUGAAGACGACGACGUUGAUAGGCCGGGUGUGUAAGCGCAGCGAUGCGUUGAGCUAACCGGUACUAAUGAACCGUGAGGCUUAACCUU